UGCCAGCCGCCGCGGUAAUACAGAGGGUGCAAGCGUUAAUCGGAGUGACUGGGCGUAAAGGGCGUGUAGGCGGAUAUUUAAGUUGAUUGUGAAAGCCCUGGGCUUAACCUGGGAAUGUCGGUCAAUACUGGAUAUCUUGAGUCUGGAAGAGGGAAGUGGAAUUUCCGGUGUAGCGGUGAAAUGCGUAGAUAUCGGAAAGAACACCAGCGGCGAAGGCGGCUUCCUGGUCCAAGACUGACGCUGAGGCGCGAAAGCGUGGGUAGCAAACAGGAUUAGAUA
rnacentral:rRNA from 1 species